AGAAAGAACGCUGGAACUGCUAAUUCCACAUUUUCAUAACUAAACUUAUGACUUUCUU
rnacentral:tRNA from 1 species